rnacentral:lncRNA from 1 species
UUUGCAGAUCAUGAGGUGGGUUCUUGGAUGCCAGAGAUUUUUGCAUUGCCUGAAAAGUCCAUGCCUUGUCCUUCUCCAGAUCAUCCCCAAGAGGCUGUGACUACAAUGACCAGGGUUUAAUAGAGAAAACAGACACAUGGCACCUGAGCGUGGCUCCCAGAUCAUAUUGGCAAGUUUGGCCCUCAUUGUCCUCCUAUCGUUGAAUCUCACCCUCUCCCCAAGGCUCCGAGGUAAGAAGAGUUCAAAGAUGAGGGACAUAAAAGGCACCGCUGGGAGAGGAGGUGCAGUUGCAAGUUCCACAAGGAUGGGUGGGUGGAUAGAUUGAUGGAUAGUUGGAUGAGUGGGUGGAUAGUUGGUUGGGUGGGCAGAUAGGUGAGUGGAUGGAUGGAUAG